AGCAGCCGCGGUAAUUCCAGCUCCAAUAGCGUAUAUUAAAGUUGUUGCAGUUAAAAAGCUCGUAGUUGAAUUUCGGGGUCAGUAGGUUGGUCAUGCCACUGGUAUGUACUGGCCUCACUGAUUCCUCCUUCCUGAUGAGCCGUAAUGCCAUUAAUUUGGUGUUGCGAGGAAUCUGGACUGUUACUUUGAAAAAAUUAGAGUGUUUAAAGCAAGCUAACGCUUGAAUACAUUAGCAUGGAAUAAUGAAAUAGGACGUUCGAUCCUAUUUUGUUGGUUUCUAGGAUUGGCGUAAUGAUUAAUAGGGAUAGUUGGGGGCAUUAGUAUUCAAUUGUCAGAGGUGAAAUUCUUGGAUUUAUUGAAGACUAACUACUGCGAAAGCAUUCGUCCAAGGAUGUUUUCAUUAAUCAAGAACGAAAGUUAGGGGAUCGAAGACGAUCAGAUACCGUCGUAGUCUUAACCAUAAACUAUGCCGACUAGGGAUCGGAUGAUGUUAAUUUUUAAUGACUCA
rnacentral:rRNA from 1 species